rnacentral:rRNA from 1 species
UACGGGGGGGGCAAGCGGUUGUUCGGAAUUACUGGGCGUAAAGGGCGCAGUAGGCGGCCUGCUAAGUCGGACGUGAAAUCCCUCGGCUCAACCGAGGAACUGCGUCCGAUACUGGUGGGCUUGAAUCCGGGAGAGGGAUGUGGAAUUCCAGGUGUAGCGGUGAAAUGCGUAGAUAUCUGGAGGAACACCGGUGGCGAAGGCGGCAUCCUGGACCAACACUGACGCUGAGUGAGCGAAAGCCAGGGGAGCAAACGGG